rnacentral:lncRNA from 1 species
AAAAGUUGUAAGAUGGUUUUAGAUAUUAACAUAUCAUUAAUUUUAACAAUCUAAAUAUUAAGGUAAAAGCACUAGUUUGUAAGAUGUCAUUCUACACCUAAAUUGUAAUCUAACAACAAGUGACAUCUUUGAACAAUAAAUGGCCCACUUGUUUGUUAUUCCCGUGAGUCUGAAGUCCUCUGUCUGCCACAAGUCAAGUAAAACAAGCUGAUAAAGAAAAUUGUGAUGAUGGGAGAGAAUUGAAUAAUACACAGGUGGUAUGAAGAUGAGAAGUAAGGAAUGAAACUGGGGGGCAAAAGAUGGGAAAAACAUCUUUCUCUGGGAAGGGAGAAAGGUUUUUAGUUAGAUGAUUGAGAAAUAAUCGGAGAGUUGCUCUCUAGCUAUGAGGACGAAGAAUUGGAUGCAUAACUACUUCAGACAAGUUGGCCAACGUUCUCUAAAGCAGUUUACAAAGACACUGAUCCAAGCAGUUUAUGAAGACUCCAUCGCAUCACAUACAGAAAAGGAAAGAAAGAAAGAACAUCCCAACUGUAAGGAAAAAGGGAGAGGUGUCUACUGUAAUAAUCAUCUACUUUUUUUUUUUUUUUUUUUGAUGCAAUCUUCCCUUGUUUAUUUGAAAGAACUAAAGACUAUAUUGUGUCAAGUAUGACAUCUAAACACACCAUCUAUAAAUCAACUGUCUUCCUGUACUUCUCAGCUACUACUUGUUCAGGUAUUUAUCCUCUGUAUCCAUGAGCACUCCAAAUAUUUUUCUCUCUCUCAACAAAGAUCUAAAGUUUACACAAACCAUAGUUGUCUCAUCAAUUUGUGUCAAGAACUUCUCACUCUGCCAUUCUUAUUCAAGUGAUUAUCCCACAUGAACCAUGGAAGGCUCAAUACCUGCACUAUUCGUCUUGUCAGAUCCACAUAUGUAUAUUGGCUUUUUAGGGUCUAAAGUAUAUAUUUUUUUCUUUCUUUAUGUUUUGUGAUGUAAAUAUUCUUCAUAAAAAUUAAGUUUUUUAUGUGGAAUU